rnacentral:ncRNA from 1 species
AAACACGCAAUGAUAAGAAAAGUAGAUCGAUUGUGCUUGUUUCAGAGAGCUCGGAUGGUGAGAAAGAGCGCAAGCAGGUGAUUGAAGAUGGUCUUGGAGCGUUUGGACGUGAGUAUCUUAGAUACAAGCGUGCAACGGGUUGCCCGUUACAGCAAAUCAGUGAACUGAUAAGGUUGAUGUUGAUCAACGAAUAAAGGUGGUACCACGAACUUGGUUGUUUCGUCCUUUCC